rnacentral:snoRNA from 1 species
CAUGAUGCUUGUUUGAAAUGUAAAGUUUCUUCCUAGCCAUGGAAGAGCAUAUUCUUGUUUAUUGGCAAAGCUGUCACCAUUUAAUUGGUAUCAGAUUCUGACUUGCACAAGUAACAUUC